UUGUUUUUAAGUACCUUUAAUUUCCAGCCCAGAUAAGUAAUUUCCCUUAAACUCAAUCCCCAUUGCUUCUUACUUCUCAUAGGAGCCUUUAAUCAUUUGCAGAAAGAAGCAGCCAGUAGAACAACAUGCUAUCACACUACGAUGAGUUUGGCCAAACAAAUUGCCAUCUCUGGACUACUCUGAUAUCAGGGAAGAAAAACAAAGGAAGCAAACAAAAACAGAGAAGAAAAGCCAUGGCAAAGCCAGGUGCCCUUGUGAAGAAGUCCUCUGACAGGAUGAAUCAUGCUCUGGGAGAAGUAAUAGCUGUAGACGGCGUCAGAUUGGUGACUACACAACUCAAGGACCCACGGAAGAAGUGCAACAUUUCUCAUCUGUAACUGAAGACAGACUUAAGGCCCACUGGAAAGGAAUUCAGAAUUAAAAUGAAUUCUCCCCUCCUCUCAUGCUAGCCCAUUGUUACAGCAGUGUGACCGUAACAGUCAGGAGGGGCACUUUUGAAUCACUUAAUGCUUGUAUAUGACUACACUGUAUGGUAUUUCUUUUGUUGGGCAUGUUAUGUCAGAAUGCCAUGUUUUCCUCUUCAAAA